GGGGACGUUACGGAUUCGACAGGGGUAGUUUGAGCUUAGGUUGCGAGUCGAGGGGAUCGGCCUCGUUAAAACGUCAACGCCUAUAACUGGCAAAGAAAACAAUAACUUCGCUUUAGCUGCUUAAUAACAGACUAAUGCGGUUCCUCCCUCCAUCGUCCAUGUGGUAGGGUAAGGGACUCACUCUUAGUGGACUACGCCGGAGCUCACCGUCUGAGGGCAAAGGAAGAGAGUAAUCAGACUAGCUGCUCAUGAAGCCUGUCGAUAGGCCGAGGAGUCAGCGAAAUGCCAAUAUAUCGACUAUACUCGUAGACGCUUAAGUGGCAAUGCUUUUGGACGUGGGUUCGACUCCCACCGUCUCCACCA
rnacentral:tmRNA from 1 species